AGGGUGAAUGCGUUAAAAAAGUGAAAAGAAAAAAAACUCAGAAUGCUCGUCUGUAUACCCGCACGCAGCAAUACAGUCCUUCUUUUCGUGAAAAUA
rnacentral:lncRNA from 1 species